GAAACUGCGAAUGGCUCAUUAAAUCAGUUAUGGUUUCUUUGAUGGUACCUUGCUACUUGGAUACCCGUAGUAAUUCUAGAGCUAAUACAUGCAGGACUGCCCGACUUCGGAAGGGCUGUAUUUAUUAGAUAAGAAACCAUCUCGGGUCCGCCCGGUUGUGUGCUGAGUCAUAAUAACUGCUCGAAUCGCACGGCUCUACGCCGGCGAUGGUUCAUUCAAAUUUCUGCCCUAUCAGCUUUCGAUGGUAGGAUAGAGGCCUACCAUGGCGUUAACGGGUAACGGAGAAUUAGGGUUCGAUUCCGGAGAGGGAGCCUGAGAAAUGGCUUCCACAUCCAAGGAAGGCAGCAGGCGCGUAAAUUGCCCGAAUCCUGACACAGGGAGGUAGUGACAAGAAAUAACAAUACAGGGCUACUUCUAGUCUUGUAAUUGGAAUGAGUACAACUUACAUCUCUUCACGAGGAUCAAUUGGAGGGCAAGUCUGGUGCCAGCAGCCGCGGUAAUUCCAGCUCCAAUAGCGUAUAUUAAAGUUGUUGCAGUUAAAAAGCUCGUAGUCGGAUUUCGGGUCGGGCCGAGCGGUCUGCCGAUGGGUAUGCACUGUUUGGCGCGGCCUUCUUUCCGGAGACCGCGGCUACUCUUAACUGAGCGGGCGUGGGAGACGGAUCGUUUACUUUGAAAAAAUCAGAGUGUUUCAAGCAGGCAGCUCGCUCUUGCAUGGAUUAGCAUGGGAUAAUUGAAUAGGACUCUGGUGCUAUUUUGUUGGUUUCGAACACCGGAGUAAUGAUUAACAGGGACAGUCAGGGGCACUCGUAUUCCGUCGAGAGAGGUGAAAUUCUCAGACCAAUGGAAGACGAACCACUGCGAAAGCAUUUGCCAGGGAUGUUUUCACUGAUCAAGAACGAAAGUUAGGGGAUCGAAGACGAUCAGAUACCGUCGUA
rnacentral:rRNA from 1 species